UAAAUGCGCAUCACCCUCUUUCUCCCUCAUAUAUUCCCUCUCUCUCUCUCUCUCUCUGACACACACACACACAUCCACGCUCCUGGAUUUGCAGAAGACAGACAUCUAGGGCACUUCUUGGCAUCCCCAGGAAAAUCAUAUGGGAUUAAAAACCCACAGCAGAAUUGCAGGAAGCUGCUUCUUGAGGAUUACAACUUCACCUUUUGCUUUUACGGAUGCUUGUUUACUAUCCAUGUGGUAACCUCUGGACAGCCAGUAAUCCAUUCAUUAUCCCCACUGAUUGAGUGAGGGAGUAGUACAGCGGUAACUACUUCACUCAGCUGAAGGCAGACAACAAAAGGAGGAAAAUGAUGAAUUCGGACAAUUUAACCUCCCAAAGCUUCCUCUCUGCAAUUCACAGCAACGCCAGCAAUUUAUUCUCAGGUCUCCAGUUUGUUCAGUCCUUCAAGCCGCUAAUCAUCCCCUGCUACUCCCUGGUGGUUUUCAUCGGUGUCAUUGGGAAUUACCUGCUCAUUUAUGUUAUCUGCAAGACAAAAAAAAUGCACAACGUCACCAACUUUCUCGUGGGCAAUCUGGCUUUCUCAGACAUGCUCAUGUGUGCAACCUGUGUGCCCCUGACACUCGCCUAUGCCUUCGAGCCCCGGGGGUGGGUGUACGGGCGGUUCAUGUGCUACUUUGUUUUCCUGAUGCAGCCUGUCACGGUGUUCGUGUCUGUGUUCACCCUGACUGUCAUAGCUGUGGACAGGUACUGUGCCAUGGUGUACCCCUUCCGCAGGAGGCUCACCAUCCCUGUCUGUGCUUACAUCCUGGCUGCUAUUUGGCUGCUGAGCUGCACCCUGGCUGCCCCAGCCUUAGUCCACACUUACCACGCGGAGUUCCCGGAGCUGGACUUCUCCAUCUGCGAGGAGUUUUGGUUCCACAUGAAAAGGGAUCGCUUGGCUUACGCCUACAGCACCCUCAUCAUCACCUAUGUGUUGCCUUUGGCUGUCAUCUCCCUGUCCUACCUGAGGAUCUCAGUCAAGCUGAAGAACCGUGUGGUGCCAGGCAAUGUCACCCAGGGCCAGGCUGAGUGGGACCGUGCACGGAGGAGGAAGACUUUUCGCCUGCUGGUCUUAGUGGUGGCAGCCUUUGGAGUCUGUUGGCUGCCUCUGCACAUCUUCAACGUGAUAAAGGACAUAGACAUCAGCUUGAUUGACAAGCAGUAUUUCAACUUUAUCCAGCUGCUGUGCCACUGGUUUGCAAUGAUGUCUGCUUGCACCAAUGCCUUCCUCUAUGCCUGGCUCCACGACAGCUUCAGGGGAGAGCUGAAGAAAAUGUUUGCCUGGAGAAAGAAGAAAAUUGGACCUGCUACAAACUGCAUUAUGGCCAGUGUGGUGCUGUAAACGAGGUCUGGUGGGAGUGCAUUUCCUUUGUACAGUAACAUUAUCAAGAUGCUUUACUGGAAGUCCCAGAUAGGAGCUGCAGACGCAUCAGAGGGAACAUCUAAAAGGGGAUUUUUAAUCCCCACAUCUACAUUUUCUGCAAUUCCUACAUUUCCACGAGGCACUGGAGACCUUUCAGCAGCAGCAAGUAGGACUGCAGAGAGAAGCUCGUGGUGAUGAGAUCUGCCUCUCCUGCUGAGCACAGUCCUUGGCUUCCAGACAACAUGCUGGAAAGGUGUUCCUGACUCACAGCAGCAGGAGGGUUUUGUGAGAGCCUGGGGAUGUUUGUGGUGCUGAGGGUCACUCUUGCCCAGCUCAGGUUCUCCCCAGCAGCAUCACCAAGAUGUGCUCAGCUGGGGCUCUGGUGAGGCCGGGCAGCACGAGGGGCUGGCUCUUUUCCUGCAGUUCCUCAGCCACAGGGAGCUGUGUUUAUUUACCCAGCACAGCCACAAGGCAGGGCAAUGUUCUGCUGAGAACGGGACAGCCAAAGGACCCCAGAGCCGCGAUGGAAUGUGGCAGGAAUGUGGCAGGAAUGUGGCAGGCUGCCAUCAGUCACAGCUCCAGUCUGUGUGACCAGCUGUGCUUGGGAGUGGGAAGGUGAAGCUACAGCCUGUGUUGUGAACCAAGCCCAUCUUGGGCUCGUGGAGAAAGAAAGAAAUUAUUACUUUUUGGACUUGAAGCAAACAAUGCCCACCCAAAGGCUAAGUCUGUGAUCACCCAGAGGUGGUCCUGUGAGAAUGCAGGAGUCACUCAAGCCUUCCUGUGCUCCCUCACUUGUGGUGUGUCACUUCAGUGGAUUUUUGAUUGGGUUUUUCCUCCCUCCCCUCAGCCCUACAGUGCAACAGGGGCAGGCCAAGCAUGUGCAUGAACCACUGGUGUGAGGUCCACAUAAGCAGAGCUGUCAGUGCACAGUCUAGAGGCAGGUGAGUUUGAGGGCACAUGCACCUGUGAAAGGGUUUUUUAUAAAAAUAAUUGAAAGAUUGGGGAUGGAAUUCCAGGACAAGUGUUCAACCAACCCACUCUUCAGCAAUUGGAGGCAGCUCUGCAGGAAGUAAGAUGAAAAUAGUUCAAAUAUUAUGUGCAAGAGUUAGCUAUGAGCUGUAUCACCAAUAUAUACUAUAUACAAGGUAUUUAAAAUCAUUAACAAGACAAAAUCUUUAAUGCUAAGCUUUGGAAUUAUUUUCCCUCAAUUAUUGGAUCAUUUUAAAUUCAACAUCUGUUGUUAAUAUGCAUAAAUUAAAAAAAUAAAAAUAGAUUUGAAACCAUCUAAAGCACUAGACAACAUAUGGCAGACCUGUUUAAUCUUAACAAGUCAAUAAUAUUAUCAUUAUGAAUCACUUCUCUGUUAAAAUGUGUAUUUAUGUCUGUUGUAUAAAUGAUGUUUAUAAAAGCCUUUUGUGCCACCCAUGCAAUUGUCACUUGUCACAGCUAAUUCUAGAUUGUUUUGAAAAAACAAUUUUCCUCUUGGAAAAUUACCACAGACUGAGGACAGACAGAAAUGCAAAUCAUCACCAGUCGAAGUUCUGACAACAUCACACACAAAGUGCAGGGAAGAUUUCAAAGACCUGUGUUUUGCUGUAGUUAAAAAUUAUAGGUUUCUUUAUUUUUAAGGCAUUGUGGAAAGCACUGUUCCGAACACUUUUCACCCUCCAAAAGUUGUAUACAGGGUCUGACAAGAUCUACAUUCUUUCCUGGUUCCUAACAUUCUUCCUUCGUUGCUAAAUGAAGAAACAGGCUUUCCCGUGGAAGGGUUUACAAUGGCACUGCUCACCUGGAAAAGCUGCUGCCCAGGGACAGGGUGAGGACACAGGAGAAGUGGGGAUUAAAAGCCAGACUUCUCAGACCCUGAAAUCAUUAAAUUAUUGGUUAAGGGCAACAGAACUUUGAAAAGUUGUCUUUCAAUCCUUGACCGAGAAGGUUUAUCUCCUUCCCUCACACAUGUUA